GCCUUCUUCAGUGCUCAGGUGUGGCUGGUGCUCUUUGUGCUGUCCCCAGAACAGCUGUGAGGAAAGGAGGUGGCGGUUUGUGAUGGUCCAUCUCUGGGUGCUCCUCAGUGGUGAGAGCAAAUAUGCAGCCCAAUCUCAGCUUCCACGAGUCACUUGUCCAACUCCUCCUCUCCAGCCCUCAGUCGUCCUGUGCUGUAUUUUUUCCCCUUGCAAAGGAGCACCAUGCUUGGUAAGUUUUAU
rnacentral:lncRNA from 1 species